GACGUAGGGGGCGAGCGUUAUCCGGAUUCACUGGGCGUAAAGGGCGCGCAGGCGGCUACGUAAGUCCGGCGUGAAAUCCCAUGGCUUAACUGUGGAACUGCGUCGGAUACUGCGUUGGCUUGAGGAUGGUAGAGGCCAUUAGAACUAGCGGUGUAGCGGUGAAAUGCGCAGAUAUCGCUAGGAAUGCCGGUGGCGAAGGCGGAUGGCUGGGCCACUCCUGACGCUCAGGCGCGAAAGCUAGGGGAGCAAACGGG
rnacentral:rRNA from 1 species